UUAUUAGCUACUUUGGAUCAUAUUGGUGGCAUCCUGCGCUGCUCUAUUAAUUCAAUCCAUGGCAGCCAAUCUUGGGGUCAUCACUGGAAAGCACUUAGCAGAGCAUUCUAGAAAUGAAUAUCCUUGGGCUACCAACUUUAUUCUUUGGUUUAUUGCUGAAAUUGCCAUAGUCGCCUGUGACAUUCCUGAAGUAAUUGGGACAGCCUUUGCAUUGAACAUGCUUUUCAGCAUACCUGUUUGGAUUGGUGUUCUUCUAACAGGACUCAAUACAUUGGUGUUCUU